AUAAAAGACUCAAUCCGAUAAGAUAACUUCAAAGGGGAAACUCAAUUCAUCACAAGAGAGUAGAGGGGGAGAAACAUCAUAAGAUCCAACUACAAUAGCAAAGCUCGGGAUACAUCAAGAUCGUGCCAUAGAGGGAACACGAGAGAGAGAGAGAGAUCAAACACAUAGCUACUAGUACAUACCCUUAGCCCCGAGGGUGAACUACUCCCUCAUCGUCAUGGAGAGCGCCGGGAUGAUGAAGAUGGCCACCGGUGAUGGGUUCCCCCUCCGGCAGGGUGCCGGAACGGGCUCCCGAGAGGUUUUUGGUGGCUACAGAGGCUUGCGGCGGCGGAACUCCUGAUCUAUCUUCUCCAUAGAUGUUUUUAGGGUACAUGGGAC
rnacentral:rRNA from 1 species